GCCUCAGUCGUGGUCUGGCAGUGUAAGGGGAUAGACGUCGGCCGCUCCUCCGUGGCACACGCGAUAGUCAUCCCCGAGUGUUUCUUCAGUGUUGGCGAGUGAGUUCGUUCGACGGGCGUGUGGCUGCCGGCGCGUCGGGUUACUGUGCAAUCCCGUGUGCGGCGGGAGGUGCGUGUGGAGUGCCGGGAGGCGGUGGCCAGGAAGGGACACAUGCCCGACGGUCCUGUGGUCAUGGUGGUGGAAGGCAGCUUGGUCUAGGCAGCAGCCCAGAGUUGAAGUCGCUCCCCCAGGAUGACGGAGAAGGUGGCGGCGGCGGGGAGCCCCAAGAGGGACGCUAGCUACUACCCCACCUCGGCCACGGGCAGCCCCGGGGGCAGCCGAGUUCUGCCCUGGCUGACCGCCCUCGUCCUGUUCAGCGUGGCCUCCUGGUGCUUCCUGGCCUGGCGACACAUUCACCUCGAGUGGAGGGUGGACCGAUUGGAGGGUGAACUGGAAGCACGCCUCGAACAGCGUCUCCAGCAGCUGGGACUCAAGUCUCAAGUCCAGCUCGCACCCGCGCCUACCCACAUCCGCGUGGCGAGGGACGUGGCCGCUGACAACUGCAUCUGUCCCCCAGGUCCCAAGGGCGAACCAGGAUCUCGAGGACGCCGAGGGAAGAAGGGCAAGGAUGGAGAGGCGGGACCCGUGGGUCCCAGCGGUCCGCCAGGGAAAAAUGGGUUCCCGGGUCCCAUUGGUCUGGACGGGCCGAAAGGAGAACCGGGCAUGCAAGGACCACCUGGCCCUCCAGGGGAAACAGGAAAGAAAGGCGAGCCAGGAGCAGGUUAUGACAUUCUCACCCGUGCCAAGGGCAUUAAAAGAUCAAUUACAAGCUUGGAAGGAGGCACAUUAGGGUAUGCAGAAAUCAUCGCCAUUAAGGGGACGAUGGGAGGUGCCUGGGAUAGCAUAGACUCUGAUAGAAUAUUAGCUAUUAAAGGUGACCCAGGCAGUCCUGGACCCCCGGGAGCCCCAGGACCUUCAGGCAAGGAUGGCUUGCCAGGUAUGGAUGGCCGUGAUGGCUAUCCUGGAGAGCCUGGUCCUCCUGGUGAGGUGGGUCCUGCAGGUCCUCUUGGACCACUUGGACCUCCAGGCCCUCCAGGGCCACCAGGGCCUCAAGGUGAAAGAGGUGACAAGGGACACAAGGGUGAGCGAGGGAUCACCACAGUCAACGGCAAAGAAAUUCCUGCCGGAAUCCUUGAGGGACCUCCUGGACCGUCUGGACCCCCUGGGCCACCUGGGCUGCCAGGGGACCCAGGACCAGAUGGUCCCAUGGGUCCUCCUGGGUUGGAUGGGGAGGAGGGAGCACGAGGACCACGGGGCAGGCGGGGCAAGCGGGGUAAGAGGGGGCGGCGUGGUGAGUCUGGCAGGGCAGCGGCACAAGGACUACCAGGGCGGCCUGGACCGAAGGGAGAACUUGGCAAUGUGGGGCCUUCAGGAGAAAAAGGAGAGAAAGGCUCCAUGGGCAUCCAGGGCCCGAAGGGAGAGUUGGGGCCACGAGGUCCCCCAGGGGUGGACGGUAUCCAUGGGGAGUCUGGUCCACAGGGGCCACCAGGGCUGCCAGGUGCACUGGGCCCCAAGGGAGAGAAGGGUGAAUAUGGAGACAUUGGUCCUCCAGGCCUGAUGGGACCACCAGGGUUGCCAGGACCUCCGGGUCUGCCAGGCCUCAAGGGUGACAAGGGUGACAAAGGAGACUCAAAACUGAAAAAACUCAGGAGAAGACAGGGAGAUUCCAGCAGGAUCUGGACGGAGGUGCCAGGGGAGGUGAUCAUGGGUCCUCCAGGUCCACCUGGGCCAACUGGUGCCCCAGGCCUGCAGGGACCACCAGGCAUCAAGGGAGGCAGGGGCAAGGACGGCACCAAAGGAGAGCCGGGUGCCAAAGGUGACAAAGGUGACCCAGGACCUAUGGGGCUGCCUGGACCAAUGGGGCUGCGGGGUGAGACAGGCCGGGCAGGGGAGACAGGCAAGCCAGGGCCAGCGGGUGCACCGGGUUUGGACGGUAUGAAGGGUGCACGAGGAGAGAUUGGCAGGAAGGGUGAGAGAGGGGAUCCAGGACUGCCAGGCACCGACGGCAUUCCAGGGGUGGAGGUACUAACACUGUGCUCUAGUAAAGCCCUGCAUGCCGCACCCACCACCCUGCCUCUCACUGACUUUUGUUGUCAUUAGCCUUCACUUGUUCUGCAUCGUAAAAUAAAGAGGUCCAAAAGGAGAGAAGGGAAUGAAGGGAGAGAGGGGUCGGCGGGGCAGGCGGGGCAAGUCGGGACCUAAAGGGGAGAUGGGAGUGCCUGGUCUGGAUGCUCCAUG
rnacentral:misc_RNA from 1 species